UACAGAGGGGGCAAGCGUUGUUCGGAAUUACUGGGCGUAAAGCGCGCGUAGGCGGCUUUGCAAGUCGGGUGUGAAAUCCCCAGGCUCAACCUGGGAACUGCAUUCGAGACUGCAUUGCUAGAGUAUGGGAGAGGGAAGUGGAAUUUCCGGUGUAGCGGUGAAAUGCGUAGAUAUCAGGAGGAACACCGGUGGCGAAGGCGGAUCUCUGGACCAGUUCUGACACUGAUGAGCGAAAGCCAGGGGAGCAAACAGG
rnacentral:rRNA from 1 species